UACUCCUACGGGAGGCAGCAGUGGGGAAUAUUGCACAAUGGAGGAAACUCUGAUGCAGCGACGCCGCGUGAGUGAAGAAGUAAUUCGUUAUGUAAAGCUCUAUCAGCAGGGAAGAUAGUGACGGUACCUGACUAAGAAGCUCCGGCUAAAUACGUGCCAGCAGCCGCGGUAAU
rnacentral:rRNA from 1 species